rnacentral:lncRNA from 1 species
GCAAUCACAUUAAACCCGUUAUCCUUUCACAUUCAUAGCAAGAUAAUUUGUUAGUGACUACGAUCUUAUUAUUAUUUUAUUAUUUUUUUCUUUUUCUCAUAGUUUGGCUCGAAUAACAACUAAAGAUGGUUGCACUGUUGGGUUAAAUGACCGGGUGAGGGUCACCUAACUUAGAAGGAACAAUACUUUUUAUUAAUUUGGUCA